rnacentral:rRNA from 1 species
UUGGAGGGCAAGUCUGGUGCCAGCAGCCGCGGUAAUUCCAGCUCCAAUAGCGUAUAUUAAAGUUGUUGCAGUUAAAAAGCUCGUAGUUGAACUUCGGGACCGGUGGGUUGGUCGUGCCUCCGGUACGUACUGGUCUUACUGGUUCCUCCCUUCUGAAGAACCACGAUGUCAUUAAUUUGGUGUCGUGGGGAAUCAGGACUGUUACUUUGAAAAAAUUAGAGUGUUUAAAGCAGGCUAAAGCUUGAAUAGAUUAGCAUGGAAUAACGAAAUAGGACGUUUGAUCUUAUUUUGUUGGUUUCUAAGAUCGACGUAAUGAUUAAUAGGGAUAGUUGGGGGCAUUAGUAUUCAAUUGUCAGAGGUGAAAUUCUUGGAUUUAUUGAAGACUAACUACUGCGAAAGCAUUUGCCAAGGAUGUUUUCAUUAAUCAAGAACGAAAGUUAGGGGAUCGAAGACGAUCAGAUACCGUCGUAGUCUUAACCAUAAACUAUGCCGACUAGGGAUCGGAUGAUGUUAAUUUUUUAAUGACUCAUUCGGCGCCUUACGGGAAAC